GGGGAAUAUUGCACAAUGGGGGAAACCCUGAUGCAGCGACGCCGCGUGAGUGAAGAAGUAUUUCGGUAUGUAAAGCUCUAUCAGCAGGGAAGAAAACAGACGGUACCUGACUAAGAAGCCCCGGCUAACUACGUGCCAGCAGCCGCGGUAAUACGUAGGGGGCAAGCGUUAUCCGGAAUUACUGGGUGUAAAGGGUGCGUAGGUGGCAUGGUAAGUCAGAAGUGAAAGCCCGGGGCUUAACCCCGGGACUGCUUUUGAAACUGUCAUGCUGGAGUGCAGGAGAGGUAAGCGGAAUUCCUAGUGUAGCGGUGAAAUGCGUAGAUAUUAGGAGGAACACCAGUGGCGAAGGCGGCUUACUGGACUGUCACUGACACUGAUGCACGAAAGCGUGGGGAGCAAACA
rnacentral:rRNA from 1 species